GGACUGGAUAUCAGACCAAGAUUCUGAUAAAAGGGGAUAACAGAGAUUAACCGGAGCAGAAAAAGUACUUUUCUGAGCCAGAGAUAACAAGAGAAACUUAAAGAAAGUGCUGAAGCAAGAAACUUUAAGCCUGUGAGUAGAGUCUCACUCUGCCACCCAGGUUGAAGUGCUGUGAUGCGAUCAUAGCUCACUGUAGCCUCAAUCUCCCAGGCUCAAGUGAUCCUCCAGCAUCAGCCUUUUGAGUAGCUGGGACUGCAGGUAUGAUGAACCUAACCAGUUGGCAGUGCCUCGUACUCUGUGAUGGAUUUUCCGAAGACCAAAUGUACCAUUUUCUUGUCUUUUCAAAGAGAGCCACACAGGAAGGAAAACAAGAAAUUCAACUUUUAAGCUGGGCUAUUCAUGGCCUUUGCUAAAUCCUGGCAGAAUUUCACAGUUCUUCAUUACAAUUCAUCUCACUGAUUUCCUAAUGCAAUGAACUGGCCUUUUCAUUAAGGCCAUAGGGAAUGAAGCUGAGUUACCCAAUCAUUAAGUGUUGUUAUCUGAUGAGUGAAAAAUGGAUUACUUUUCGAUGUGCAUUUGGGGAGCCGUGUGUGUGUGUGUGUGUGUUUCCACUAGAUUCCAUUUUGCGAAAAUUGGUUCAAGUGGAAGGACAGGGUUAAUCUUUCAUGUUCUGUUCUGCUAGAACACUAUAUGGCUUUCUGCUCUGUGAGCAGGCAAAGAAAAAUUGGUGGGCUCAGGAAUCAGAAAUGCAGGGCCAACAGUCCUGUUUCUCACUUUCGAUAAAGGCCAACAUUUUACCUGCUCAAGAACACUCUAUUCCUUUAACCAACGGGAGUGUUAUUUAAUUAGUUCCUUCGUUUUUCAGCUAAAGCAGACACAUGCGCACAUCACACACACAUGCAUGCGCUGUGGUGUUUUUUCUUCUAUCACCCCUCCCUCCACAGAGAUAUCAAUUUGCAUAAGAGGAGAAAAUAAAUUCAUUUAAACCCCAUUCUAAAUUCAGUAUUAGAAAUGUAAUGAUCUCUAACACUGACCUUUUUAAAAUACUUUGUGGAUAAACCAUUGAUUUUAUUUGUUCUAAAUUUACUUUAAAAGACCUGUUUUGUAAAUCACUAAAACACAUGUAUUUUAUUUACCUGUUUGGGAUAAUAUUAAACAUAAUCUUUGAGGGUA
rnacentral:lncRNA from 1 species